GACGAACGCUGGCGGCGUGCUUAACACAUGCAAGUCGAACGGAAAGGCCCUGCUUUUGUGGGGUGCUCGAGUGGCGAACGGGUGAGUAACACGUGAGUAACCUGCCCUUGACUUUGGGAUAACUUCAGGAAACUGGGGCUAAUACCGGAUAGGAGCUCCUGCUGCAUGGUGGGGGUUGGAAAGUUUCGGCGGUUGGGGAUGGACUCGCGGCUUAUCAGCUUGUUGGUGGGGUAGUGGCUUACCAAGGCUUUGACGGGUAGCCGGCCUGAGAGGGUGACCGGCCACAUUGGGACUGAGAUACGGCCCAGACGCCUACGGGAGGCAGCAGUGGGGAAUAUUGCACAAUGGGCGGAAGCCUGAGGCAGCAACGCCGCGUGCGGGAUGACGGCCUUCGGGUUGUAAACCGCUUUCGCCUGUGACGAGGCGGGAGUGACGGUAAUGGGGAAAGAAGCACCGGCUAACUACGU
rnacentral:rRNA from 1 species